rnacentral:rRNA from 1 species
UACGGGGGGGGGCAAGCGUUGUUCGGAAUUACUGGGCGUAAAGGGCUCGUAGGCGGCCAACUAAGUCAGACGUGAAAUCCCCUCGGCUUAACCGGGGGAACUGCGUCUGAUACUGGAUGGCUUGAGUUUGGGAGAGGGAUGCGGAAUUCCAGGUGUAGCGGUGAAAUGCGUAGAUAUCUGGAGGAACACCGGUGGCGAAGGCGGCAUCCUGGACCAACACUGACGCUGAGUGAGCGAAAAGCCAGGGGAGCAAACGGG